GGGCCGGUGGUCUAGUGGUAUGACGCGAGCUUUGCAAGCUCGAUGCCCUGGGUUCGAAUCCCAGCCGGUCCA
rnacentral:tRNA from 1 species